rnacentral:lncRNA from 1 species
CUAUCCCCCUCCUUCCCCGCCCUUGAAACAAGUGUGCAAGUGAAAUUGCAUUUACAAAUUGGAUAGACAGGAUUUUCUUCCUAGGAGUUAGUGCAUUUAAGCUGGAUAUUCAGUUACUUCAGGCCAGUUAAGUAAGGUAGAUCACACUGCUUUGUACUUGAUAUUUUUAUUACUUAAACUGUAGAUAAUGGCACAAUUUACAUACAGGUAUCAGUUUGUUUAGAGUUUUUGUAUUACAUUUUGACACUUUACUUUUUUGAAAAGGUCAGAGUAAUUUAUGAUAUAAAUGUUCAUGGUGAAGUUGCUGUGAAAGCCAAAGGCACUUUUUAAUUAUUUAUAUAAUUUCACAUUUUCUUGGAAGUCAGAUUGUUUUGACACUAUUGCACAAACAUAUGAUCAUUUAAGAUGUUCCUUUAUUUAAUGAAAGAUAAUAAGACUGGCUUCCAUCAUUUUUCAGAUGUUGUACAACUACAGCACUCUCAAUCUCACUCAAGUUGAUGGGUCAGUUGCACGAAUGGUAACUGUAAUUCACACUGGUCACGGGAAAAAGUGCCGCUGUGUGGGAAUCAAUUGUAGUUUCUCCGGAAAAGAUGUUACAGCCAGUGUAUGAAGACUGAACUUUUGAUAGGUCACAGGUACUCUCGCAAAGACUGAUGGCCUGGCAGCAUAAACUAUUCUAUGGUGUUACAAUGGAUUCGGAGGUGAAGUCAUGAGGAGUUGUUGUGAUGGCAGAAGAAUGAGUGAUCAUUUAGCAUUUUGCACAAGGGUGUACGAGUGGUCCAGUUAAACAGAGGUUACAAACAAUUAAAACUAUAAUUUGAUAUUACAUCUACUUGUGAUUGAUGAAAGUAAUUCAAAGUAUCAUUUGGACAGAUCUGAUGAGUUAACAAAUAUUUGAAAGUAUACGAGGAACAUUUUACACACCUUCAAUAUUAGUAUGUUGUAUAGUAAAUAUAAUAAACAAUUAAAG